GUACGGGAGGCAGCAGUGAGGAAUCUUGCACAAUGGGGGAAACCCUGAUGCAGCGACGCCGCGUGAGCGAUGAAGCCCUUCGGGGUGUAAAGCUCUUUCGGCAGGAACGAUUAUGACGGUACCUGCAGAAGAAGCUGCGGCUAACUACGUGCCAGCAGCCGCGGUAAUACGUAGGCAGCGAGCGUUGUUCGGAGUUACUGGGCGUAAAGGGUGUGUAGGCGGUUUGCCAAGUUCGGUGUGAAAUCUCCCGGCUUAACUGGGAGGGUGCGCCGAAUACUGGCAGGCUCGAGUGCGGGAUGGGAGAGCGGAAUUCCUGGUGUAGCGGUGAAAUGCGUAGAGAUCAGGAGGAACACCUGCGGUGUAGACGGCUCUCUGGACCGCCACUGACGCUGAGACACGAAAGCGUGGGUAGCAAACAGGAUUAGAUACCCUAGUA
rnacentral:rRNA from 1 species